AACGAACGCUGGCGGCAGGCUUAACACAUGCAAGUCGAGCGCCCCGCAAGGGGAGCGGCAGACGGGUGAGUAACGCGUGGGAACGUACCUUUUGGUUCGGAACAACUCCGGGAAACUGGAGCUAAUACCGGAUAAGCCCUAACGGGGAAAGAUUUAUCGCCGAAAGAUCGGCCCGCGUCUGAUUAGCUAGUUGGUGAGGUAACCGCUCACCAAAGCGACGAUCAGUAGCUGGUCUGAGAGGAUGAUCAGCCACACUGGGACUGAGACACGGCCCAGACUCCUGCCGGAGGGAGGCAUGGGGGAUUAUGGAAAAUGGGGGGCAGGCUGAACCCACCCUGGCGGGUUAGUGAUUGAGGGCUUAAGGUUUUUAAGCCUCUUUGUCCCGGGAGGUUAUGACCGUACCCGAAGAAUAAGCCCCGGCUAACUUCGUG
rnacentral:rRNA from 1 species